rnacentral:rRNA from 1 species
GACGAACGCUGGCGGCGUGCUUAACACAUGCAAGUCGAACGAAGUGGCGAACGGGUGAGUAAUACGUGGGUAACCUGCCCUCCUUUUUGGGAUAAGCCUUGGAAACGGGGUCUAAUACAGCAUAAAGGGGGAUGGGCUCGGGGCCUCUCAGCUUGUUGGUGGGGGGAUGGGCUACCAAGGCGGUGACGGGUAGCGGGCCUGAGAGGGUGACCGGCGACAUUGGGACUGAGAUACGGCCCAGAGUCCUAAGGGAGGGAGCAGUGGGGGAUAUUGAACAAGUGGCGAAAGCCUGAUGCAGCGACGCCGCGUGGGGGAUGAGGGUUUUAGGGUUGUAAACCUCUGUCGCUAUCGAACGGGUAUGUGGAGAGAAAGCGCCGGCUAACUACGUGCCAGCCGCCGCGGUAAUUC